rnacentral:lncRNA from 1 species
CCCAGAGCUGCAUCUCCUCCCUCUCCCUGCUUAACUGUUUCUACACCAAUGGUGGUAAGUAGGAGGUGCAGUGAAAGGUGAAACCAAAAUGUUUUGAUGCUGGGGGCUUUGAUCCUUCCUGCUCUUUUAGGAUCACUUGUAUCUGAAGCCCUCAAUUGAGUUCUGAGAAACUUCUGGGAGGAAGGACCGUCUUAAAGAGUUUUCAUUCCUUUUUUGUUUCUGCAGUUUUUUUUUUCCCACAGAAGGGCGUAUUCAGAUUCCUAAAGAAGGCUUUGAAAGGGAUCCAGAGAGGCAAUCACAUGCAUGUGCAGCUAUUUUUUUCAUCCGGCAAGAAUAUAUGGAAUGUGAAUGGAGUUUCAGCAUAGCUCUGUGAGUUUGUGAUGCCUCCAGAAAUGAAGACUCCUGAGGGAGAAUUUCACUGAGGAACAUCAUGUUUUCCAGAAUUUCUGGGAAAGACAUAGACCUGUUGGAGUGCAUCCAGAAGAGGGCCACAAAAAUGAUCCAAGGAUGGAACACCUUCCCUACAAG